rnacentral:lncRNA from 1 species
GCUGGCUUGGCAGGUCGGUCAAUCAUUUGUGUAUAUAAGCACUGCUUUGAGUUAAUGAAAGAGUGGAAGAGGCCGUGAGGGCUGGGCAAAAACAAUGUAGCACAUUUGUGUCACCAAGGAGGAAAGCUCUCGGCAAAGCUGGUGCUGGCUUCUUCCUUGGCGUGUGUGUGUGUGUUCUUGUGUGAGACAAAAGAGAGAUAGAAAGUUGUGCGAGGCAACUCGAGGUAGAAGAAGAAGUGGCGCUGCGAGAGGGCGGCGCCAGCAAUUGGCAUCAGAGCCUUGUUGAUCCGUGGCGGCGACGACGGUGCCGGCGGCUAUGGUGGCCGGCGUGGCGCUGGGCGCGAGGUGAUGGCUGGCAGCGGCGCGAUGCCGCGGGCGGCCGGUUGCGGUGCGAUGCCGCGAGAUGAAGGUGGUGCGAUGAUCGGCGUCGCGAGGACGUCAUCCACGACAAGAUGGUCCGUGGUGACCGGCGCUGCAACGGCGUCGGUUGUGGCGCGACGGACUUCAUGCGAGAUGGAGGCCGACGACGCAAGAAGGAGGAUGGUGGCCAUGCGGUGCCGCUAUGUGAAGAUGGCGGUGCGAAGCUGCCACAACAAGAGUCGGCGUGAUGCCGACGACGAUGGUGUGAUGCCAUCGUCAUCAUGGAAAGUUGGUGUGAAGCCAACAAAAGUUACGGUGCGAUGCCGCUUGGCGAAGACGGCGUGGUGAUCGGCGCUGCGACAGCGUCGUCCACGUCAAGAGGUGGCCGCUGCGUGCGGCAAGAGUACAUGGUGAUGGACGCGGGCGCUGCGAUGACGUCGGUCCAGGCAAGGUGUGCAGCGCCGCGAUUGUGUCGUCAAGUGGCAGCGGGUGAACCGCGUGAAGAUUGGAGAAUCAAGAUUAGGAGGGAAAAUGUUAGGUUUAAUCUUGAUUCAUGUAUCUGCAUAUUUAGUUUGCUUUUGUUAUGUAUGUAGGAUAGGUUAGAGAGUAGCUAGUCCGGUGAAGCUUCAGCAGAGACGAGUGGAGAAGGCGAGAUGCCAAGGGGUCGUGUGAUACGACGACGAUGGCGAGAUGCCGAUGGUGGCGUGAGGCUGCAGUGUUGCGCGAGGCAGCGUGGCCGUGUGAUGCGGCAAGUGCGACCAAGGCUGGAGCGUGGGACUCUAUGAUGCAUGUUGAGUUGGCCUAGUCCUUUGGCCGUUAAGAGGAGGUUGAGCAAGGGCCGGGCAUAGGCGUGCAUGUAGUAGUGAUUAGGCUGCAUGCAUGAGUUUGUUAGCCGGUGCUGCAGGUCCUGCGGAUAUUCAACGAAAGUUGGGGUCGUCCGUGCAGUACUGGCCGUAGGAAAAGGUCAUGUGUUAGUGGCCUGGGUUAGUGCGUGAGUGCAUGGGUUAGUGGGUUAGUGUAGCCGGGUGUGGCGGCUGGCUUGGCAGGUCGGUCAAUCAUUUGUGUAUAUAAGCACUGCUUUGAGUUAAUGAAAGAGUGGAAGAGGCCGUGAGGGCUGGGCAAAAACAAUGUAGCACAUUUGUGUCACCAAGGAGGAAAGCUCUCGGCAAAGCUGGUGCUGGCUUCUUCCUUGGCGUGUGUGUGUGUGUUCUUGUGUGAGACAAAAGAGAGAUAGAAAGUUGUGCGAGGCAACUCGAGGUAGAAGAAGAAGUGGCGCUGCGAGAGGGCGGCGCCAGCAAUUGGCAUCAGAGCCUUGUUGAUCCGUGGCGGCGACGACGGUGCCGGCGGCUAUGGUGGCCGGCGUGGCGCUGGGCGCGAGGUGAUGGCUGGCAGCGGCGCGAUGCCGCGGGCGGCCGGUUGCGGUGCGAUGCCGCGAGAUGAAGGUGGUGCGAUGAUCGGCGUCGCGAGGACGUCAUCCACGACAAGAUGGUCCGUGGUGACCGGCGCUGCAACGGCGUCGGUUGUGGCGCGACGGACUUCAUGCGAGAUGGAGGCCGACGACGCAAGAAGGAGGAUGGUGGCCAUGCGGUGCCGCUAUGUGAAGAUGGCGGUGCGAAGCUGCCACAACAAGAGUCGGCGUGAUGCCGACGACGAUGGUGUGAUGCCAUCGUCAUCAUGGAAAGUUGGUGUGAAGCCAACAAAAGUUACGGUGCGAUGCCGCUUGGCGAAGACGGCGUGGUGAUCGGCGCUGCGACAGCGUCGUCCACGUCAAGAGGUGGCCGCUGCGUGCGGCAAGAGUACAUGGUGAUGGACGCGGGCGCUGCGAUGACGUCGGUCCAGGCAAGGUGUGCAGCGCCGCGAUUGUGUCGUCAAGUGGCAGCGGGUGAACCGCGUGAAGAUUGGAGAAUCAAGAUUAGGAGGGAAAAUGUUAGGUUUAAUCUUGAUUCAUGUAUCUGCAUAUUUAGUUUGCUUUUGUUAUGUAUGUAGGAUAGGUUAGAGAGUAGCUAGUCCGGUGAAGCUUCAGCAGAGACGAGUGGAGAAGGCGAGAUGCCAAGGGGUCGUGUGAUACGACGACGAUGGCGAGAUGCCGAUGGUGGCGUGAGGCUGCAGUGUUGCGCGAGGCAGCGUGGCCGUGUGAUGCGGCAAGUGCGACCAAGGCUGGAGCGUGGGACUCUAUGAUGCAUGUUGAGUUGGCCUAGUCCUUUGGCCGUUAAGAGGAGG